rnacentral:rRNA from 1 species
CUGCUGCCUUCCGUAGGAGCUUGGACUGUGUCUCAGUUCCAAUGUGGGGGACCUUCCUCUCAGAACCCCUACGCAUCGUCGGCUUGGUGGGCCGUUGCCCCACCAACUACCUAAUGCGCCGCAUGCCCAUCCAUGACCGGGGUCGCCCCCUUUGACCGGCAGGGGAUGUCCCCUCCCGGCAUUAUGUUGUAUUAGGCGGGAUUUCUCCCGGUUAUCCAUCUGUCACGGCCAGGUUGCAUACGUGUUACUCACCCGUGCGCCGG